UCCCCAGUCAACCAGCCACACUCAGGAU
rnacentral:piRNA from 1 species